rnacentral:rRNA from 1 species
UACGUAGGGUGCAAGCGUUGUCCGGAAUUAUUGGGCGUAAAGAGCUUGUAGGCGGUUUGUCGCGUCUGCCUGUGAAAUUUCGGGGCUCAACCCCGAACUUGCAGUGGGUACGGGCAGACUAGAGUGUGGUAGGGGAGACUGGAAUUCCUGGUGUAGCGGUGAAAUGCGUAGAUAUCAGGAGGAACACCGAUGGCGAAGGCAGGUCUCUGGGCCAUAACUGACGCUGAGAAGCGAAAAGCAUGGGGAGCGAACAGG